GAAGAAAGUACCAUAUGACACAUAAUUAGGGGACAAUACCCGUGCAACGUUGAGUUUAAGAAAAAAUGAAUUUUAAACAACACCUGCUGCUAUCUUGGUACAGCUUUAGAUUCACAUAGAUUAAAAAUUAAUAUCCAGUAGUAAAUAGAUCGAAACAUCUGGAAAUAAUAAAACGAAAAGAGAGUUUUGGCAGAGCACAUUAAAAUUUUUGUAUAACCACUGAAUUUGCCAGUCCUGCUUGCUCAAUCGUUUGGGUUGGGUCACUGAGCAUUUUAGGAGGAAAUCCAACAGUUUGUAGUUGAUAUGCCCUGGUGUCACUUGGCCUUGAAGCAUCAAUGAAGGCACGGAUGUCGCCAACAGUUUGGUGGAAGUUGAAGUGUGCAACCAUGCGACUUCCAUCUGCCAAUCUAAUUUGAAGCGAGGUCGAAGGCAAUGAUUCAUCCAGAACACUUGUGGAAGCUGCUGGGACUCUGCUUGUGGGAGCAGAAGCAGAUGGCUCAGAAGUUGCUUGAGUUGCGCUGCUUCCAAGUGUUCUUCCCACUCCCUGAAACGAAACUUGGCGUUUCUCUGGUUCAGGACAGUUCUCAUCCCUUCUUAUGAGGUUGCAAUGCACCUGGGACCUGGUAUCUGCAGGAGCCAACUCUCUAGGACAUUCAGACUUUGUGAUACUCUCCAGAAAAGAUGCAUUUUCAGGAUCAUCCAGCCUUCGUAAAGGACCAUCAUUUACAGUGAAACCAUUUCUCCAAAAGACAAUAUUGUGCACGAUGGACUCGGGCGGUUGAGGAGCUGAUGUUGGCACUGUCUCCCCUGCAAGUGUUCUUGCAGAUCCAGUAAAGCUUGUUGAGCUUGAACUAGGGACGACACUUUCCAAAGGACCUUGUGUGGCACCCACUUGCCUAGCUCGGUCAAAGAUGGAGUCCACAUCAUUAUGCUUUGAAGGAUCUUGAACAAGCAUUCCACUUUUCUCACCGCCGGUGUAGUAUUCUUGGGGACCAUCGGAAUCGCUGUCGGAAUCGUGACCUGAUGGACGGUUGAGAUCGGAAAGUGUACGAAUUCCACCGGCACGGUUACCGGAGGUUUGCCUAGAGGGUUUCUUGGUAUCGCGUGAGGACAUUGAUUCUACUCUGUUGCUGCAACUUCGAGAAGGAGGGGAAUACGAUUCGAUUCAAUGAUUAUACUAAUCACCUAAUUCUAGGGCUUUU
rnacentral:misc_RNA from 1 species